GGAAACAGGGGAGUGCCCGUUCGGGAACCCGGUGACAGGUGCUGCAUGGCUGUCGUCAGCUCGUGUCGUGAGAUGUUGGGUUAAGUCCCGCAACGAGCGCAACCUUGUCAUUAGUUGCUACAUUCAGUUGGGCACUCUAAUGGGACUGCCGGUGACAAGCCGGAGGAAGGUGGGGAUGACGUCAAGUCCUCAUGGCCCUUAUAGGUGGGGCUACACACGUCAUACAAUGGCUGGUACAAAGGGUUGCCAACCCGCGAGGGGGAGCCAAUCCCAUAAAGCCAGUCGUAGUCCGGAUCGUAGUCUGCAACUCGACUACGUGAAGUCGGAAUCGCUAGUAAUCGUGGAUCAGAAUGUCACGGUGAAUACGUUCCCGGGUCUU
rnacentral:rRNA from 1 species